rfam:Mus musculus chromosome 18, GRC primary reference assembly.
GACCCCUGGCAAUGGCCAAACAGAUACCUUGUACUUGGGAUUGUUUUUUUAUCAGUCAGGAGCAGAGCAGACCUUUGUUUACCUGAGAUUGGUGACUGGCUUGGUGGCCAAAGCUGUGUUAUGCCUAAGGCACAUAA